UCCGUGGUCGAGUGUCCCUGAGUUCAAUCUCUGGUACCAAAAAAAUAAAAUUAAAAAAUAAAUUAAAAUGUUUGAACAGUUGGAUUUCAAACAUUUUGAUUUUGUGGAGUGGUGCUUACCAAGUGGUACAGCCCUAAGCAAGUGAACG
rfam:Ictidomys tridecemlineatus contig012273, whole genome shotgun sequence.